rnacentral:rRNA from 1 species
AGUGAACGCUGGCGGUAGGCCUAACACAUGCAAGUCGAACGGCAGCACAGUAAGAGCUUGCUCUUACGGGUGGCGAGUGGCGGACGGGUGAGGAAUACAUCGGAAUCUACUUUUUCGUGGGGGAUAACGUAGGGAAACUUACGCUAAUACCGCAUACGACCUACGGGUGAAAGCAGGGGAUCUUCGGACCUUGCGCGAUUGAAUGAGCCGAUGUCGGAUUAGCUAGUUGGCGGGGUAAAGGCCCACCAAGGCGACGAUCCGUAGCUGGUCUGAGAGGAUGAUCAGCCACACUGGAACUGAGACACGGUCCAGACUCCUACGGGAGGCAGCAGUGGGGAAUAUUGGACAAUGGGCGCAAGCCUGAUCCAGCCAUACCGCGGGGGUGAAGAAGGCCUUCGGGUUGUAAAGCCCUCUUGUUGGGAAAGAAAAGCAGCAGGUUAAUACCCCGCUGUUCUGACGGUACCCAAAGAAUAAGCACCGGCUAACUUCGUG